GUGAUUUUAAUUCCAGUGUUACCUGUGUUCCCCAGGCAGCCUGGUGACUCCAUCCCAGGUUGAGCAAGAAUCCUUGAGCCGGAGCUCGGUGCCGCAUCCAGAGCCUCACGACAGGAGCUGUGCCUUGAGUGGAGACUUCUGGAGCUGUGAUGAAAACAAGAUUAAAGAAGAAAUCAUUGGCAAUGAAGUGCUUCAACAACUGAACUGCUGACUUUUUUUUGGGUCAAACCAUCUCAGGGCCAAGAACUAGAGGACGUGUACCUGAUAUUUUGAAGCCUGCUGGAAGCUUUGGUGCUGCUUGGUGUUGCAGUGGUCACCCCUGACUUCAGCCCAUGCCAGCUGGAAUGUCCCUGCUGGAGCCGUUUCCAGCUGGAACCCUCUGAAAUGUGCUGCAUCCAUUCCAUGCAGCAGAGCAACAAUGUCAUUUUGCAGCACUUGGCAAUUGAUGGCACUGGUGGGGUUGAAGCCUCACAGCUCAUGGUGUGUUCUCAUUCUCUGUGUGCUUUUCCUGGUGCACUGAAGCUCCCAUGCUCUCCUGCAGCAGAAGUCUGGAAUUUGCCCUGCCAGAUCUGCUUGAGGUGGAAUGUGGAGCUCUGGAACAGCAGAGAAGGAGUUUCAGUCCUCUUCUUUACCUGGAGAGCUUCAGUCCGGUCCACCAUGGUCCAUCUCAAAGAGAGCUCUGAGUUGGAAUGCUUUCAGAUUUCUUUGUAUUAUUCUGUCUGA
rnacentral:lncRNA from 1 species